GAUGUUUCAAAAUCUUGGUCUUUUCUACCUCGUCAACUUUGUUGAGGGAAAACAAGUUGAAAUGCCUCAGCAGACGAAACUUAAACUUACUGGGAAUCCACGUGGUCGUUUAGUGACAUAUUCAGAAACUCAGAGUCUGAUGGGUCUAAAAGAAAUUGCGGAGUCUUUGUCUGGAACUUUGA